rnacentral:sRNA from 1 species
AGGUAUUUGAGUAUAUGGGGAUGAAUGUCAGACAUUCAAUGUAAAGCUGGAGAGAAAAACAAAAGGGGAAAGAAUUUUCCCCUUUUUAGAUAACU